rnacentral:rRNA from 1 species
AUGCUUGUCCAAGGAAGGACAGCACCCAAUGCUUGCAGAGAAUACCUUACUGAAAACCACUUGUCAUUUCCUUCUGCUCCUCAUUGGACACCGAGCAUUAUGCCGUGGUCUUCCUCAACAGGAAAGUUGCCUACAAUAAGGCUUGCCGUUUCGACCUUCACAUCUUCUCGUCAACGACGCGGUCAUGGAGCAGCAAGGUGCCCUCGUCUUGCUUAUCGGAGGAUGAUGAGGCAUUGCUGCUUAACCAUGGCACCUGCAACUCGGUCAUGGUCGGAGAUGGCUCCCUGGGCUGGGUUGAUCUCUUCAGCGGCAUCCUCCUCCUGUGCGCUGUGUUUGGCGAGUGUCCUGUUGUCAAGUACAUAG